rnacentral:rRNA from 1 species
GAUGAACGCUAGCUACAGGCUUAACACAUGCAAGUCGAGGGGAAACGACAUCGAAAGCUUGCUUUUGAUGGGCGUCGACCGGCGCACGGGUGAGUAACGCGUAUCCAACCUGCCCAUCACUUGGGAAUAACCUUGCGAAAGUAAGACUAAUACCCAAUGAUAUCCCACGAAGGCAUCGGAAUGGGAUUAAAGAUUUAUCGGUGAUGGAUGGGGAUGCGUCUGAUUAGCUUGUUGGCGGGGUAACGGCCCACCAAGGCAACGAUCAGUAGGGGUUCUGAGAGGAAGGUCCCCCACAUUGGAACCGGGACACGGUCCAAACUCAUACGGGAGGCAGCAGUGAGGAAUAUUGGUCAAUGGGCGAGAGCCUGAACCAGCCAAGUAGCGUGCAGGAAGACGGCCCUAUGGGUUGUAAACUGCUUUUAUAAGGGAAUAAAGUGGGUCACGUGUGACUUUUUGCAUGUACCUUAUGAAUAAGGACCGGCUAAUUCCGUG